CACAUUAGACACUGAUGGCCCUCGGAAUUUGAUUUUAUUAAAGCUGUAAAGACUAUACGAUGGAUUUAUGAUUUAAAUGGUAUUGUUUUGUUUUCUUAUUUCCUUUAACAUGGUGGGUUUAAUUCAUUAUUUCAUAUAAAGAGUUUGAUUUGAUAAAUUUGUGUUUAUUUUAUAAUAGUACACCACUAAGCAAAAUGCUUAGCGAUAGUUGCUUUUGUGCUGUCGCACGAAAAGGCAAGGAAAAAGAACUAGGAGAAGAUCGUUUUUGUUUGAUGUAGAUAGUAUGCUACUGAUGUAGCUAUUGUAUAUUUGACUUCUUUUGGAAUAUGUAUGAUGUAUUAAACAUUAACAGAACAUCUAUGUAUAUUUGAGCAGA
rnacentral:lncRNA from 1 species